UUAAGCGACUAAGCGUACACGGUGGAUGCCCUGGCAGUCAGAGGCGAUGAAGGACGUGCUAAUCUGCGAUAAGCGUCGGUAAGGUGAUAUGAACCGUUAUAACCGGCGAUUUCCGAAUGGGGAAACCCAGUGUGAUUCGUCACACUAUCAUUAACUGAAUCCAUAGGUUAAUGAGGCGAACCGGGGGAACUGAAACAUCUAAGUACCCCGAGGAAAAGAAAUCAACCGAGAUUCCCCCAGUAGCGGCGAGCGAACGGGGAGCAGCCCAGAGCCUGAAUCAGUGUGUGUGUUAGUGGAAGCGUCUGGAAAGGCGCGCGAUACAGGGUGACAGCCCCGUACACAAAAAUGCACAUGCUGUGAGCUCGAUGAGUAGGGCGGGACACGUGGUAUCCUGUCUGAAUAUGGGGGGACCAUCCUCCAAGGCUAAAUACUCCUGACUGACCGAUAGUGAACCAGUACCGUGAGGGAAAGGCGAAAAGAACCCCGGCGAGGGGAGUGAAAAAGAACCUGAAACCGUGUACGUACAAGCAGUGGGAGCACGCUUAGGCGUGUGACUGCGUACCUUUUGUAUAAUGGGUCAGCGACUUAUAUUCUGUAGCAAGGUUAACCGAAUAGGGGAGCCGAAGGGAAACCGAGUCUUAACUGGGCGUUAAGUUGCAGGGUAUAGACCCGAAACCCGGUGAUCUAGCCAUGGGCAGGUUGAAGGUUGGGUAACACUAACUGGAGGACCGAACCGACUAAUGUUGAAAAAUUAGCGGAUGACUUGUGGCUGGGGGUGAAAGGCCAAUCAAACCGGGAGAUAGCUGGUUCUCCCCGAAAGCUAUUUAGGUAGCGCCUCGUGAACUCAUCUCCGGGGGUAGAGCACUGUUUCGGCAAGGGGGUCAUCCCGACUUACCAACCCGAUGCAAACUGCGAAUACCGGAGAAUGUUAUCACGGGAGACACACGGCGGGUGCUAACGUCCGUCGUGAAGAGGGAAACAACCCAGACCGCCAGCUAAGGUCCCAAAGUCAUGGUUAAGUGGGAAACGAUGUGGGAAGGCCCAGACAGCCAGGAUGUUGGCUUAGAAGCAGCCAUCAUUUAAAGAAAGCGUAAUAGCUCACUGGUCGAGUCGGCCUGCGCGGAAGAUGUAACGGGGCUAAACCAUGCACCGAAGCUGCGGCAGCGACGCUGAUGCGUUGUUGGGUAGGGGAGCGUUCUGUAAGCCUGUGAAGGUGUGCUGUGAGGCAUGCUGGAGGUAUCAGAAGUGCGAAUGCUGACAUAAGUAACGAUAAAGCGGGUGAAAAGCCCGCUCGCCGGAAGACCAAGGGUUCCUGUCCAACGUUAAUCGGGGCAGGGUGAGUCGACCCCUAAGGCGAGGCCGAAAGGCGUAGUCGAUGGGAAACAGGUUAAUAUUCCUGUACUUGGUGUUACUGCGAAGGGGGGACGGAGAAGGCUAUGUUGGCCGGGCGACGGUUGUCCCGGUUUAAGCGUGUAGGCUGGUUUUCCAGGCAAAUCCGGAAAAUCAAGGCUGAGGCGUGAUGACGAGGCACUACGGUGCUGAAGCAACAAAUGCCCUGCUUCCAGGAAAAGCCUCUAAGCAUCAGGUAACAUCAAAUCGUACCCCAAACCGACACAGGUGGUCAGGUAGAGAAUACCAAGGCGCUUGAGAGAACUCGGGUGAAGGAACUAGGCAAAAUGGUGCCGUAACUUCGGGAGAAGGCACGCUGAUAUGUAGGUGAAGUCCCUCGCGGAUGGAGCUGAAAUCAGUCGAAGAUACCAGCUGGCUGCAACUGUUUAUUAAAAACACAGCACUGUGCAAACACGAAAGUGGACGUAUACGGUGUGACGCCUGCCCGGUGCCGGAAGGUUAAUUGAUGGGGUCAGCGCAAGCGAAGCUCUUGAUCGAAGCCCCGGUAAACGGCGGCCGUAACUAUAACGGUCCUAAGGUAGCGAAAUUCCUUGUCGGGUAAGUUCCGACCUGCACGAAUGGCGUAAUGAUGGCCAGGCUGUCUCCACCCGAGACUCAGUGAAAUUGAACUCGCUGUGAAGAUGCAGUGUACCCGCGGCAAGACGGAAAGACCCCGUGAACCUUUACUAUAGCUUGACACUGAACAUUGAGCCUUGAUGUGUAGGAUAGGUGGGAGGCUUAGAAGUGUGGACGCCAGUCUGCAUGGAGCCGACCUUGAAAUACCACCCUUUAAUGUUUGAUGUUCUAACGUUGACCCGUAAUCCGGGUUGCGGACAGUGUCUGGUGGGUAGUUUGACUGGGGCGGUCUCCUCCUAAAGAGUAACGGAGGAGCACGAAGGUUGGCUAAUCCUGGUCGGACAUCAGGAGGUUAGUGCAAUGGCAUAAGCCAGCUUGACUGCGAGCGUGACGGCGCGAGCAGGUGCGAAAGCAGGUCAUAGUGAUCCGGUGGUUCUGAAUGGAAGGGCCAUCGCUCAACGGAUAAAAGGUACUCCGGGGAUAACAGGCUGAUACCGCCCAAGAGUUCAUAUCGACGGCGGUGUUUGGCACCUCGAUGUCGGCUCAUCACAUCCUGGGGCUGAAGUAGGUCCCAAGGGUAUGGCUGUUCGCCAUUUAAAGUGGUACGCGAGCUGGGUUUAGAACGUCGUGAGACAGUUCGGUCCCUAUCUGCCGUGGGCGCUGGAGAACUGAGGGGGGCUGCUCCUAGUACGAGAGGACCGGAGUGGACGCAUCACUGGUGUUCGGGUUGUCAUGCCAAUGGCACUGCCCGGUAGCUAAAUGCGGAAGAGAUAAGUGCUGAAAGCAUCUAAGCACGAAACUUGCCCCGAGAUGAGUUCUCCCUGACCCUUUAAGGGUCCUGAAGGAACGUUGAAGACGACGACGUUGAUAGGCCGGGUGUGUAAGCGCAGCGAUGCGUUGAGCUAACCGGUACUAAUGAACCGUGAGGCUUAACCUU
rnacentral:rRNA from 4 species